UACGUAGGGGGCGAGCGUUGUCCGGAAUCAUUGGGCGUAAAGCGCGUGUAGGCGGUUCAGUAAGUCUGCUGUGAAAGUCCAGGGCUCAACCCUGGGAUGCCGGUGGAUACUGCUGAACUAGAGUGCGGAAGAGGCGAGUGGAAUUCCCGGUGUAGCGGUGAAAUGCGCAGAUAUCGGGAAGAACACCCGUGGCGAAGGCGGCUCUCUGGGACGGUACCGACGCUGAGACGCGAAAGCGUGGGGAGCGAACAGG
rnacentral:rRNA from 1 species